UACAGAGGGGGCAAGCGUUGUUCGGAAUUACUGGGCGUAAAGGGCGCGUAGGCGGCCUUCUAAGUCGAACGUGAAAUCCCCGGGCUCAACCCGGGAACUGCGUCCGAUACUGGAAGGCUUGAAUCCGGGAGAGGGAUGCGGAAUUCCAGGUGUAGCGGUGAAAUGCGUAGAUAUCUGGAGGAACCCCAGAGGCGAAGGCGGCGCCCUGGCUCGCAACUGACGCUCAGACACGACAGCAUGGGGAGCGAACGGG
rnacentral:rRNA from 1 species